AUUGGUGUGGUAUAGUAGUUAGCAUACCUACCUUCCAAGCAGGUAAUACAGGUUCAAUUCCUGGCCAAUG
rnacentral:tRNA from 1 species